UUAAACCAGCGGUUCCAGGGUUCUCCUGGCCUCUCUCGGCCCCACACCCCGCAGCUGGCGAGGCCUACAGCGAAGAUAGAGAGGAAACCCGGAAGUGGGGAGGACCUCCGAGCACGUGAUGGGGGAACCCGCUGGCGCCGUCACGUGACCCGCCGACCUGCUGCUCCGCGGUGCGGAAUGUUCAGCUGCUCUUAAAGGGCACAGACCCUCCCGGUCCCAUCGGAGCCGACUCCGAACGUGCGCUGACUUUGGACCCCUGGGGACCCUGAACUUGAUGCCAUGGGAGGCAGCGCGGGCUCGCGGCGACGCCUUUCAGACUCCGAGGGAGAGGUGACGGCCCAGGAACCUCGGGAACCUGGGCCCCCGCCGCCGGACCGGCAGGGCGCCCAUUGGAAGAACGCGAUGGGCUUCUGGCUCUUGGGCCUUUGCAACAACUUUUCUUACGUGGUGAUGCUCAGUGCUGCUCAUGACAUCCUCAGCCACAAGAGGGCAUCUGGAAACCAAAGCCAUGUAGACCCAGACCCAGUCCCCACCCCCCACAAUAACUCAUCUCGCUUUGACUGCAACUCUGUCUCCACAGCUGCGGUGCUCCUGGCAGACAUCCUCCCCACACUCGUCAUCAAAUUGCUGGCUCCCCUUGGCCUUCAUCUGCUGCCCUACAGCCCCCGGGUUCUCUUCAGUGGGAUUUGUGCAGCUGGAAGCUUCAUCCUCGUUGCAUUUUCCCACUCGGUGGUGACCAGCCUGUGUGGUGUGGUCUUGGCUAGCAUCUCAUCAGGCCUGGGGGAGGUCACCUUCCUCUCACUCACCGCCUUCUACCCCAGGGCUGUGAUCUCCUGGUGGUCCUCGGGCACUGGAGGAGCAGGGCUGCUGGGGGCAUUGUCCUACCUGGGCCUCACCCAGGUGGGCCUCUCCCCCCAGCACACCCUGCUGUCCAUGCUGGGCAUCCCCGCCUUGCUGCUGGCCAGCUAUUUCUUUUUGCUCACAUCGCCCGGGCCCCAGGACCCUGGAGGGGAAGAAGAGGCAGAGAGGGCAGCUCGGCAACCCCUGAUGAGCAGCGAGGCGCCCGAGGCCCCCGAGUGGAAGCCAGACUCCAGCCCAAGCCUCUCCCUUCAGGAGAAGUGGACUGUGUUCAAGGGCCUGCAGUGUUACAUCCUCCCAUUGGUCCUGGUCUACUUUGCUGAGUACUUCAUCAAUCAGGGGCUUUUUGAGCUCCUCUUCUUCCGGAACACGUCCCUGAGUCACGCUCAGCAGUACCGCUGGUACCAGAUGCUGUACCAGGCCGGCGUCUUUGCCUCCCGCUCCUCUCUUCGCUGCUUUCGCAUCCAGUUCACAUGGGCCCUGGCCCUGCUGCAGUGUCUCCAAGAACUGGGGCCACUGGAGGGAUGGCAGCCUCCCCUUCUCCUGCCACAAGUCCAGGCUCAGCCCUGCCCUCCACCUGCACCCACAGUGCUUCAACCUGGUCUUCCUGCUGGUGGACGUAUGGCUGAGCUUCCUGCCGAGCAUCUACCUCGUCUUCCUGAUCGUUCUGUAUGAGGGGCUCCUGGGGGGCGCUGCCUACGUGAACACCUUCCACAACAUCGCCCUGGAGACCAGUGACGAGCACCGGGAAUUUGCCAUGGCAACCGCCUGUAUGUCCGACACCUUGGGGAUCUCCCUGUCAGGGCUCCUGGCCCUGCCCCUGCACGACUUCCUCUGCCGCCUCCCCUGACACUGGGCUUCUUGGGACACAGGACGCACUGGCAGGUGGGCAGGCCAGACCCCGGGCCCACAGCC